CCCUAUGGGGUGCAGCAGGGAUAAAUGAAUAUUCCAAAAACACGGAUAUUAUCUAUAUGGCGAAUUAUGCCCAGACAGUCAAUGUGAUUGGCUGCAUCAAAACGAAUACAACACAUUCUGUUUUUGAUGCCACCGGCCAGGCGCUUAAGCUUUACAGGCAUAAAUUCGGAACAAUCCCGGUGAAGAUUUCCGGCGAAACACGGCCUUUUGAUAUAGGGGCGACACUUACCCAGGGGAGCGAUACACUUACGCUUUCAGUUGUCAAUCCUGUUUAUGAGACAAUCAGUUUCCCUCUCGAAAUAUCAGGGGGCAAAACCGGCGAUAAGAUUGAAAUCUGGAGGAUAACGGCGCCUGAUGAAAUGUCGACAAAUGAACCCGGAAGGGAGC
rnacentral:rRNA from 1 species